UACGUAGGUGGCAAGCGUUGUCCGGAAUUAUUGGGCGUAAAGCGCGCGCAGGCGGUCCUUUAAGUCUGAUGUGAAAGCCCACGGCUCAACCGUGGAGGGUCAUUGGAAACUGGGGGACUUGAGUACAGAAGAGGAAAGCGGAAUUCCACGUGUAGCGGUGAAAUGCGUAGAGAUGUGGAGGAACACCAGUGGCGAAGGCGGCUUUCUGGUCUGUAACUGACGCUGAGGCGCGGAAGCGUGGGGAGCAAACAGG
rnacentral:rRNA from 1 species